UCGUAACAAGGUUUCCGUAGGUGAACCUGCGGAAGGAUCAUUAAAAAUAUCGCUUGAUUGAAAGUGAUUUAAUAAUCAUCCUACCCUUUGUGAAUUUGUUGUUUGAAUAAUUUUUUUUUGACGUGGAUUUAAAAAAAAAAUUAUUUAUGGUUUUGUCUAUCCCUAAAAUUGGUUUGUUUGUUGUAAAGACAAUGAAUCAAUUUAGGGAAUAGGCUUUCAUAAAUAAGUUUUUUUUAAAGUCUUAAAGACCUUUUUUAAAUUAAACUUUUGUAUUCAUUUUGUUCUAAAUUUUUUUUAAAUAAUUUAAAAAACAAACUUUUUGACAAUGGAUCUCUUGGUUCUCGCAACGAUGAAGAACGCAGGCAAAAUGCGAUAAGUAAUGUGAAUUGCAGAAUACGUGAAUCAUCAAAUCUUCGAACGCAUAUUGCACUUUUUUAGUUUACUAAAAAAGUAUGUCUGUUUGAAGUAUCAGUAAAAUAUUCUCAUAAAAACAUUUUUGCUUUUAUGGUUUGAGUGUUUUACAACGAUAAACAAGUUGUUUCACUUUAAAUUCAUUUUUAAUUUAAGACCAUUUUUUGGUUUUAAUAAUAAAAUUGGAUAAAAUUUUCCCGUAAAAAGGAAUAAACUUUUCAGUUUUUAAGUUAGAGAAAAUAUCGGUCCGAUUUUAAAAGGAAAUUUAUAAUUUAAAUAACUUGAUCUCAAAUCAGAUAAGAGUACCCGCUGAACUUAAGCAUAUCAAUAAGCGGAGGAAAAGAAACUAACAAGGAUUCCCUUAGUAACGGCGAGUGAAGCGGGAAGAGCUCAAAUUUGAAAUCUUCAAGGUUCUACCUUGACGAAUUGUAGUUUAAAGAAGUGUUUUCUGUUAGAUGAGUAGCAAAAGUUCCUUGGAAUGGGACAUCAUGAGAGGGUGAGAAUCCCAUAUUUGGUUAUUCAUUCUAGCUUUGUGAUACACUUUCAAAGAGUCGGAUUGUUUGGGAAUGCAGUCCAAAAUGGGUGGUAGAUUUCAUCUAAAGCUAAAUAUUGGCGAGAGACCGAUAGCGAACAAGUACCGUGAGGGAAAGAUGAAAAGAACUUUGAAAAGAGAGUUAAACAGUACGUGAAAUUGUCAAAAGGGAAGCGUUUGACACCAGUGUUGUUUUUCCAAAAUCAAUUACGAAUGGCUUGAUUUUGUGUUGUAUUGACCUUAUCAGCUUUCUGCACUUUUUUCGAGUCUUUCUUAAUGCACUUUUUGGUUAACAAGUCAACAUCAAUUUCUUUUGUUGUAAAAGAGUAUUCGGAGGUGGCUUUCUUUUCGGAGAAAGUGUUUAUAGCCCUAUACUUCUACAAUCGGAGAGAUUGAGGUCUGCAGCGUAGAUCCUUCGGGGUUAGAUACACUUGUGCUAAGUUGUAGCUUUUCAUAGACAACUUGUUGACUAUGUUUAGUCAUGCGGCUUACUCGCUUAUGCUAUUUUACUACGCUUAGGAUGUUGAC
rnacentral:misc_RNA from 1 species